GUUUUAGUAAUUUAAUAAAAAUAUUGGUCUUGUAAAUCAAAAAUAAGCAACGCUUCUAAAACU
rnacentral:tRNA from 1 species